rnacentral:rRNA from 1 species
AUGGGCGCUGGGGAAGGAGAGGCAGCUGGGAGCAAGGAGAAGAGCAGCGGCGUCGCCCGGACGUCCCUGGACGGCCUGCGGGACAAGAACGUGAUGCAGCUCAAGAAGCUCAACAUGGCGCUCUUCCCCGUCCGCUACAACGACAAAUACUACCAGGACGCCAUCGCCUCCAAGGACUUCUCCAAGCUCGCUUACUAUAGUGAUAUAUGUGUUGGAGCAAUCGCUUGUCGCCUGGAGAAGAAGGAAGGAGGGGUGGUCCGUGUUUAUAUCAUGACUCUGGGUGUAUUGGCGCCCUACCGUGGUCUUGGUCUUGAACAAAGCUGCUGA